rnacentral:rRNA from 1 species
GAGUUUUGAUCAUGGCUCAGGAUGAACGCUAGCUACAGGCUUAACACAUGCAAGUCGAGGGGAAACGACAGUCGAAAGCUUGCUUUUGAUGGUCGUCGACCGGCGCACGGGUGAGUAACGCGUAUCCAACCUGCCCAUCACUUGGGGAGUAACCUUGCGAAAGUAAGACUAAUACCCAAUGAUAUCUCUAGAAGACAUCUGAAAGAGAUUAAAGAUUCAUCGGUGAUGGAUGGGGAUGCGUCUGAUUAGCUUGUUGGCGGGGUAACGGCCCACCAAGGCAACGAUCAGUAGGGGUUCUGAGAGGAAGGUCCCCCACAUUGGAACUGAGACACGGUCCAAACUCCUACGGGAGGCAGCA